rnacentral:rRNA from 1 species
GACUUGAGAAGAGUCAAGAGAACGUGAAACUACCACGAGGUUAAAGCGGAUGUACAUUCGUGGCUGAACGGGGGGUCUCAUCUCCUCGAACCUCUAGGCGGCGUCGUGUUCGGACCGUCUCCGUCCUGUCCCGCGAGGGGCGGGCUCCGGAGCUGGCCGUCGCGUCGUCGGACUCGGGGGAAAGGGGGGUGGAUUUCCUCCCUUAGUACGCAGUCGCGGCCGCUCGUCGGUCGUCCAAGGCUCGGAAGUUGGGAACAGUCCGGCGCUCACGCGCCGGCUGGGACGCUACCUUGAUUCUGGCGGACCUUCGGGCGGUUUAACGGACGAGACGGGGAUUUUAAACGCCUCGCCUCGUACGCGGCCGAAUGAGCGAUCGUUCAUCCGUCCCGUCUUGAAACACGGACCAAGGAGUCUAACAUGUGCGCGAGUCAAAGGGCUGGCUAAACCCCUAGGCGCAACGAAAGCGAAAAAGGCCUCUUCGGAGGCCGUUGGGUCGAUCCGUGCUCCCUUUAGUGGACCGGCGCAGACCCGGGGCUCGCCGUUACCUCUUCGUUCCCUCGCAAGGGGGUUCGCGGCGGGCGGCGGGCACCUUGAGCGUACAUGCUAGUACCCGAAAGAUGGUGAUCUAUGCCUGGCCAGGACGAAGCCAGAGGAAACUCUGGUGGAGGUCCGUAGCGAUUCUGACGUGCAAAUCGAUCGUCAGAGCUGGGUAUAGGGGCGAAAGACCAAUCGAACCAUCUAGUAGCUGGUU